AGGACGAACGCUGGCGGCGUGCUUAACACAUGCAAGUCGAGCGGUAAGGCUCCUUCGGGAGUACACGAGCGGCGAACGGGUGAGUAACACGUGAGCAAUCUGCCCUUCACAUCGGGAUAACUUCCGGAAACGGAAGCUAAUACCGGAUACGACCACCUCAGGCAUCUGAUGGUGGUGGAAAGUUCUGGCGGUGAAGGAUGAGCUCGCGGCCUAUCAGUCUUGUGGUGAGGUAACGCCCACAGGCUUCGACGGGUA
rnacentral:rRNA from 1 species